rnacentral:rRNA from 1 species
GAUGAACGCUGACAGAAUGCUUAACACAUGCAAGUCGAUGGGGAAGUGGUGCUUGCACCAUGGCAACCCUGGCGGACGGGUGAGUAACGCGUAAGGGACUUACCUGCAGGACUGGGAUAACAGGGGGAAACUCCUGACAAGACCGGAUAAUGUCAUGGAGCUGCCUGGCUUUAUGAUGAAAGGAGACGCCUGCGGAGAGCCUUGCGUCCUAUUAGCUAGUUGGUGAGGUAAUGGCUCACCAAGGCGAAGAUAGGUAGCCGGCCUGAGAGGGUGGACGGCCACAAGGGGACUGAGAUACGGCCCUUACUCCUACGGGAGGCAGCAGUGGGGAAUAUUGGACAAUGGGGGCAACCCUGAUCCAGCAAUUCUGUGUGCACGAAGAAGGUUUUCGGAGUGUAAAGUGCCUUCAGCAGGGAAGAAGUAAGUGACGGUACCUGCAGAAGAAGCGACGGCUAAAUACGUG